ACGAUAUUGUAAGUUUGGUUAUAGUUUGAACAAGGAGCUGGACUUUGUGGAAAGUCUGAGUUUAUCAAAAUGGGCACCAGUUUUGGGAAGGAGUCAAUGAGCUCACAUGUAGUGGACAAACAGAAUAAAGGAACAAGAGAAGACUCUAAGAUACAAAGCGAUGGAAGGGCCGCACCACCAUCCCAGUCCAAUCGUGCCCAACCAGAUUAUUCUACUCCAAUGCCUAAACCAAAACCAUCUCCAGAGCUUCCCAGCCCACCGAAUAGUACCGAAUAGUACCGUCCGAAUCGCGGAGAACACGCUGAUAUUGAUGUGCAAAUUUGUGAAUUAUUUGAUUUGAUCAUGGCUAAAUGGUGCAUUUUCUUGUCAUAGUAACGCAUAAAAUCAAGUGUCAUAGCAUUUUAAGUUCUGAUGAAACUUUGUGAAUGAAUAUUUUAACGUUAAGAAGCGACGAGGAAGACCAUCUUUACGGUAUCGUAAUCUUUUAAACAAAUAUCCAUCAACCGUAGAUGAAAUGCAUGGUGCACACUAUAUGGUUAUUAGUGGUAAUCCAAGUGAAACAAAUCAUGACAUACUAGUUUAAAAUGUAAUAAAGGAAUUUACGUUUCAUUGGACACAUGUUGAACCAGCAUUAAACGUUGUAUACACAAACAAUGUGCAUCAUCAUCUUUUACCUGAACACAAACUGAACAAAAUGCAUGAACAGAUAACACAUUUUCCUAGUAUUGUCGGUGUGUUUAAUAAGUUUCGACAUUAAAUGUUUCGGACAGAUUACAAGUCGAAAGUUCUAGUCUAUGUUGUGAUGAUAUGUAUGUCCAACUAAUUUUCGCUACAUCUUAGUUUUUGGAAACAUUAAACUGUCAGUGAAUGCAUCUUUCUAAAUCAACAAUACAUAUUUUCCAACCAUCAUCUAUGUUUUGGUUAGCUUUCUCGUUUUUUGAUUGUUUUAGGUUAAUUUGCUUCUCCAUAAUGAGUGUCUGUAAAGGGAUAAUUAGAGAAUGUUUACCAAUUUAUCCUGGCAAUAUCACUAUCCGACUACUUCUACACUUAAGAAAAAAACAUGAAA